rnacentral:rRNA from 1 species
UCCCAGUUCGGAUUGUAGGCUGCAACUCGCCUACAUGAAGUCGGAGUUGCUAGUAAUCGCGGAUCAGAAUGCCGCGGUGAAUGCGUUCCCGGGUCUUGUACACACCGCCCGUCACACCAUGGAAGUUGGGGGCGCCCGAAGUUGCCUAAGAAAUAAGGUACCUAAGGCGAAACCAAUGACUGGGUGAAGUCGUAACAAGGUAUC